rnacentral:rRNA from 1 species
CCUACGGGUGGCAGCAGUGGGGAAUAUUGGGCAAUGGACGCAACUCUGACCCAGCAACGCCGCGUGAAUGAUGAAGGCCUUCGGAUUGUAAAGUUCUUUUCUAAGGGAAGAGGAAAGUGACGGUACCUUAGGAAUAAGCCUGGCCUAACUACGUGCCAGCAGCCGCGGUAAUACGUAGGAGGCAAGCGUUAUCCGGAAUGACUGGGCGUAAAGGGUGCGAGGGUGGUUUGACAAGUUAGUAGCGCAACUCCGGGGCUCAACGCCGGAACUACUACUAAAACUGUUUGACUUGAGUGCAGGAGGGGUAAUCGGAAUUGCUGGUGUAGCGGUGGAAUGCGUAGAUAUUAGGAGGAACACCAGUGGCGAAGGCGGGUUGCUAGACUGUAACUGACACUGAGGCACGAAGGCGAGGGGAGCAAACGGGAUUAGAUACCCCGGUAGUC